rnacentral:rRNA from 1 species
UGGGGAAUAUUGCACAAUGGGCGCAAGCCUGAUGCAGCGACGCCGCGUGAGGGAUGACGGCCUUCGGGUUGUAAACCUCUUUCAGCAGGGACGGAGCGCAAUGACGGUACCUGCAGAAGAAGCACCGGCCAACUACGUGCCAGCAGCCGCGGUAAUACGUAGGGUGCGAGCGUUGUCCGGAAUUACUGGGCGUAAAGAGCUCGUAGGCGGUUUGUCGCGUCGUCUGUGAAAUUCUGCAGCUUAACUGCAGGCGUGCAGGCGAUACGGGCAGACUUGAGUACUACAGGGGAGACUGGAAUUCCUGGUGUAGCGGUGAAAUGCGCAGAUAUCAGGAGGAACACCGGUGGCGAAGGCGGGUCUCUGGGUAGUAACUGACGCUGAGGAGCGAAAGCGUGGGUAGCGAACAGGAUUAGAUACCCUGGUAGUCCACGCCGUAAACGGUGGGUACUAGGUGUGGGUUCCAUUUCACGGGAUCCGUGCCGUAGCUAACGCAUUAAGUACCCCGCCUGGGGAGUACGGCCGCAAGGCUAAACUCAAAUGAAUUGACGGGGUCAUAGCUGUUUCCU